GGCCCGUUAGCUCAGUUGGUUAGAGCGGGUGCCCUUAACACCAAGGUUGCUGGGUUCGAUUCCCGCAUGGGCCA